rnacentral:rRNA from 1 species
CCUACGGGAGGCUGCAGUGAGGAAUAUUGGUCAAUGGGCGCGAGCCUGAACCAGCCAAGUAGCGUGAAGGAUGACUGCCCUACGGGUUGUAAACCUCUUUUAUAAGGGAAUAAAGUGUGGGACGUGUCCUGUUUUGUAUGUACCUUAUGAAUAAGGAUCGGCUAACUCCGUGCCAGCAGCCGCGGUAAUACGGAGGAGCCGAGCGUUAUCCGGAUUUAUUGGGUUUAAAGGGUGCGUAGGCGGCCUUUUAAGUCAGCGGUGAAAGUCUGUGGCUCAACCAUAGAAUUGCCGUUGAAACUGGGAGGCUUGAGUAUGUUUGAGGCAGGCGGAAUGCGUGGUGUAGCGGUGAAAUGCUUAGAUAUCACGCAGAACCCCGAUUGCGAAGGCAGCCUGCCAAGCCAUGACUGACGCUGAUGCACGAAAGCGUGGGGAUCAAACAGGAUUAGAUACCCUAGUAGUC